AUUCGUUUCACCUAUGAUCAAAAGUGUUACCCUGUUUUUAUGCAUGCUUCCUGACUUGAUCAAAUAAGAUAUCUAUAUUUUCAAGACAAAACACCCGAAUCCGGCAGUAUGUUCAUAUCCAGGAAUAACAAACAUCACAACUCAAACCGACCGAAAGGUUGAUAAUAUAGCGAUAUGACAGUGCAGUUUCAACUAUUGCAUUCAUAUUUUCCAGCUUCGGACCACGGCUGUCAUAAAAGGAAUCUAUUUCAUGCGACCAGUUAGAUCGCUUGGUGGGCUGAAAUCUUGCCGCCAAGUUAUUUACAGAAUGUUCUGGUGCUUUUUACUGACGCUAUAUAAAAAUUUAAUUGAGGAGAUGGCCACAGAAGAUUCCAGCUUGAAAUUUUAAUGAUCAAAAAACGUAUUUAAAGUUCUGGAAAAUCUGUCACACUUCAAAGAUUAUAAUCCAGUGAAAAACAAUCAAUAACGAUGACAGUUAAUCCCAAACACGGAACUCAAAACGAGAAAUUUAAUCAAAUUGACAAUAAAAUUAAUGUUUCUACAAACAAGAUGGUCAACACAACUUCAGUUUAUUUGAAGAAAGAACAGAAAUCUGCUUAACAAAGCGAUCUUUUCCUCUCCCUCUGGAGCUGAGAUGAUAAAUAAAUACAUUUUGCGUCUCUGGUCACUCUCUUGAGGAAAACAAAAUAUGGAUUGAAGUUGAAAAAAGUAAUAUUUCAA